rnacentral:rRNA from 1 species
AGAUUGAACGCUGGCGGCAGGCCUAACACAUGCGAGUCGAGCGGUAGAGAGGUGCUUGCACCUCUUGAGAGCGGCGGACGGGUGAGUAAUGCCUAGGAAUCUGCCUAGUGGUGGGGGAUAACGUUCGGAAACGGACGCUAAUACCGCAUACGUCCUACGGGAGAAAGCGGGGGACCUUCGGGCCUCGCGCCAUUAGAUGAGCCUAGGUCGGAUUAGCUAGUUGGUGAGGUAAUGGCUCACCAAGGCGACGAUCCGUAACUGGUCUGAGAGGAUGAUCAGUCACACUGGAACUGAGACACGGUCCAGACUCCUACGGGAGGCAGCAGUGGGGAAUAUGGACAAUGGGCGAAAGCCUGAUCCAGCCAUGCCGCGUGUGUGAAGAAGGUCUUCGGAUUGUAAAGCACUUUAAGUGGAGAAGGUUGUAACUAAAUACGUUGCUAACUUUGACGUUACGACAGAAUAAGCACGGCUAACUUCGUGCCAGCAGCCG